GUCUUCGUGGUGUAACGGUAGCACAUCCAUCGCGUAUUCGAAAGGUCCAGGUUCGAGUCCCGGCGAGGGCG
rnacentral:tRNA from 1 species